UCACUCUCCGAAAUCCUCAUUCUUCUCUCUAAUCAAUGUCAUCUCUCUGCGAAUAAGACUGAGCCAGUGAACUGAGAUUGAGCCAGUUUAGCCUCUCCAGAUCGUGCCGAUUCCCUUAGAGCGAAGCACUGUUGGCCGCCCAGUUUAGCCUCUCAGACUGGUUCCCGUCGCAUCCAGCCUCAGGAUGUUGAUAUUGAUGAGGAGGUUGAUGUUAUAAUUUCAGAGUGGAUGGGAUACAUGCUUCUGUAUGAGAGGUUGGAAGUGUCAUUACAGCGAGAGAUCGCUGGCUAAAACCUGGAGGUGUUAUAUUUCCUUCAAAUGCAACGGUAAUUUUCUUUAUCUUUUUGGUCUUUCAAUUGUUGUGACAGUUCAUCUUUAGUUAUGAGAUUUAUACACGGUUGCUGCUUUAAUGUCAUUGAAUUGACAAUCAUUUCAACCUCAUAUGUCGUUAACUUGUGGAUUAUUAACUAGAAUAUGCAGCUUCGUCAAUAUAUUUUUGUACAACAUUAGAUGCUAAAUGAAUUUGGUUCUGUCUUGCUGAUUUUGUUGUUGAAUGCUUGCGGUUGUACAUAGCACCUAUCACACAUGUUGAUAAAUACAGUGAAAGCAUUGAUUUCUGGCAGAAUGUUUAUGGAAUUGAUAGUUUCAUAGCUAUGCAUGCCACACUUGCCAGUCGCAAUGUGGACUGUUGUUUGAUUCCAAAUUCCCUCUUAUUUCUUGAAGGACGAGGUGGACUUUUUGAGUUCAUUGAAGAACGACUCAGAAAAUGGACAUAUGGUUAUUGUGAUUGCUGAGGGAGCAGGACAGGAUCUUCUUUCAGAGAGCUUGUAAUCCAUGAACCAGCAAGAUGGAAACAAGCUACUAAAAGACGUUGGGUUAUGGAUAUCUCAGAGGAUCAAGGUGUUACUUGUAAUCUGUAGAAUUAGUGCUUGAGAGCUUCCAAAGCUAGACUCCAAUGAGGCCAUGAGAGCAGCAAAGCUAGACUCCUUAAGUAAAUUUCUGGAUGUAUAUUGCUAGGAGAGUAGUAUUAGAUGUACUCCUUUUGUAGAUGAAAGAUUACCUUUGCACAAUCUAUUUUGGUGCAUGAUGUGGAUUAUAACAAUUUCUUCUAUAUAUUGAUCAGCUACUGUUAA